AAGGAAUUCGGCAAAAAUUUAUAUUCGCCUGUUUAUCAAAAACAUGUCUUUUUGUUUAUAAUUUAAAGUCUAAUCUGCCCACUGAUAUUAAAUUAAAGGGCUGCAGUAUUUUGACUGUACAAAGGUAGCAUAAUAAAUAGUCUUUUAAAUGAAGACUGGAAUGAAUGAUUGGACGAGAUAUAAGCUGUCUCAAUUUUAUAUAUUGAAUUUAAUUUUUUUAUUAAAAAGUUAAAAUAUAAUUAAAAGACGAGAAGACCCUAUAGAGUUUUAUAAAAAUAUUAAUUUUGGGUUUAUUAUAAGUUUUUAAUAAAAAUUAAUAGUUUUAUUUUAUUGGGGUGAUAGAAAAAUUUAAUAAACUUUUAUUUAAAAAAACAUAGUUAAGUGAAUUUAAUGAUCCAAAAUUUUUGAUUAUAAGAAAAAAUUACCUUAGGGAUAACAGCGUAAUUUUUUUUUUUAGUUCAAAUAAGAAAAAAAGUUUGCGACCUCGAUGUUGGAUUAAGAUAAAAUUUAAAUGCAAAAGUUUAAAAUUUUGAUCU
rnacentral:rRNA from 1 species